rnacentral:misc_RNA from 1 species
AGAUAGAGAAAGCAAGAAUCAAUCUAAAAUGGUAUCGUUAUGCUGCUGAAUUAAAAGGCAACAGAUGAUCCCUAGGGACAUGCUCAUCAGAUCUGUGCAGAUCAUACAUACCAAGAUAAUUUGUGAGAUCCCAAAACAUUCCCGAAAGAAAUUAAGAACUUAAAAGAAAAAAGGUGGUAAAAGCGUGACUCAUGCAUAGACCAGAAUUGGAAAUUAGGGAAAAAAGAGCAUUGGCAUUAAAGUAAAUGUGGGCGUAAUACACAGAUCUGAUAAGUAAGAUUAUGGAUAAGCUUAAACCAGCAAAGGCGGAGCCAAAAGAUGGAAAUGAAAAGGCACACUCAGAUCCAGAUCUGACCCAAAACAGCAAAAAAUUGGAGAGAUUAAAGAUGAUACUUACCCGUUCCUGCUGAGGGAACCUAUU